AUGAGUUUAAUUAAUAGAUUUAUUAGUGAACAAGGAAAAAUAUUAUCAAGACGAAUAAAUAGAUUAACCUUGAAACAACAACGAUUAAUUACUCUUGCUAUAAAACAGGCUCGUAUUUUAUCUUUCUUACCGUUUCGUAACUAUGAGAACGAAAAGCAAUUUCAAGCCCAGUCAAUUUCAAUAAUUACAGGUUCUAGACCCAGAAAAAAUAGACAUAUUCCUCAAUUAACGCAAAAGUACAAUUCCAAUCGAAACUUAAGAAACAACAACCAAAAUUUAAGAAACAACAACCGGAACUUAAGUUCCGAUUGUUGA
rnacentral:rRNA from 1 species